rnacentral:rRNA from 1 species
UUAAAUUGAAGAGUUUGAUCAUGGCUCAGAUUGAACGCUGGCGGCAGGCCUAACACAUGCAAGUCGAACGGUAACAGGAAGAAGCUUGCUUCUUUGCUGACGAGUGGCGGACGGGUGAGUAAUGUCUGGGAAACUGCCUGAUGGAGGGGGAUAACUACUGGAAACGGUAGCUAAUACCGCAUAACGUCGCAAGACCAAAGAGGGGGACCUUCGGGCCUCUUG